rnacentral:rRNA from 1 species
UACGUAGGUGGCAAGCGUUGUCCGGAUUUACUGGGCGUAAAGAGCGCGCAGGCGGUCGAAUCAGUCGAAUGUGAAAGCCCCCGGCUCAACUGGGGAGGGUCAUUCGAUACUGUCCGACUCGAAGGCAGGAGAGGGAAGCGGAAUUCCCGGUGUAGUGGUGAAAUGCGUAGAUAUCGGGAGGAACACCAGUGGCGAAGGCGGCUUUCUGGCCUGCUCUUGACGCUGAGGCGCGAAAGCUAGGGGAGCGAACGGG